AUUGAACGCUGGCGGCAGGCCUAACACAUGCAAGUCGAACGAGUGGCGGACGGGUGAGUAAUGUCUGGGCAACUCCCUGAUGGAGGGGGAUAACUACUGGAAACGGUAGCUAAUACCGCAUACCAUCGGAUGUGCCCAGAUGGGAGUAGCUAGUAGGUGGGGUAAAGGCUCCCCUAGGCGACGAUCCCUAGCUGGUCUGAGAGGAUGACGAGCCACACGGGAACUGGUACACGGCGCAGAUUCGUACGGGAGGCAGCAGUGGGGACAAUUGCAGAGUGGGCGAAAGGCUGAUGGAACCAUGCCGCGUGAGUGAAGAAGGACUUCGGGUUGUAAAGUACUUUCAGAGAGGAGGCGUUACCCGCAGAAGAAGCACCGGCUAACUCCGUGCCAGCAGCCGCGGUAAUUC
rnacentral:rRNA from 1 species